rnacentral:lncRNA from 1 species
CCCCAGCAACACAUUGCAGCAAAAAAACGCGAGGCCAAAAUUUUUGUGUCAGUACCCCUUUAAGCGCGAGACAGACGGUAUAUAUAAGUGGCUAUUUAUUAGACGUAGAAGAAAUGAGGGAAUAGAAGACGCUUCUUUCUGUCUCCCGUAUCGGGGUCACGGCUAAGCGCCUUGCGGGGAGGGGGAGUGGGCUUAAAAGGGAUAGAGUGAGAAGGAGAGUAGCUAGGGUAUUAGGAGAGGAGGUCUUCCACCCUGGCACGGGAAGGAGGCCAGCGCAUAUUUUCCAUGCGAUGUGCCGACCGACACGGCGGUGGGGGAGAGGAAAUGGUGGCUGUCCGAUGCUAUGAAAGGUCACAUUCCGGUUCCCCACCGCCGUGUCGGACGUCGCAUCGCAUGGAAAAUCGUACCGUCUGUCUCGCCCGUUAUUGGUCCGUCCACGUGGGACACACCUGAACGGCAUACGCGCAGAAAGGCAUACGCGAGUUUUUUUUGACAGAAAUAAAUGUUUUGUGCGUAUAUCGUGGUUUGAAAACAGAUUUUGCUAGUUUUUUUAUUUUAAGAAAUUUCGGGCUAUGCGAAUAUUGUCGCUCCCCCUUCAGAUUCGUAUCACCGAGGUUCUACUGUAGCUGGGAAACACCCUACCUGCGUUGUUUGUUUGGCCACUCUAUGCCAUUAUAAGACCGCAACGCCAACGUUCGCGCUUACGGGGCUGCUCGGUGUUAUGUUCGGGGCUGUUCGGUGAUUCAGUAGUGUUAUGCAACACCCAUUAUUGGACAGAACUUUUUAUUUCAACAGAGUUCCUUGUUUGACUGUUUUUUGCUUCAAACGGUCAAUUUUUCCACUUGGCAUUGAGCAUUUAGCUGCUCCAAAAGUUGUUUUCCCUGCUCGAAAACGUGUUUUUAGCUGCUCCAAAAGUCCCUUUUCCUGCUCCAAAACGCACUUUUUGCUGCUCCGAAAACCUGCUCCAAAACAGUUUCAGUCAAUCACAUCACUGUGAAGGUAGGUGCCUCAUCAUGUUUAGUCCCUGUAAUCAUUUUCAUCCAGAGUGUACUGUUAGGAUAUGAAAAUGAUACAUUUUUUUCCCCACUGUGUUGUGGUAAAUCCGCGUUGGAAGCACAAGGGCUGUCGCAAGUCCACGUAGCUAUGAGCCAUCCUUGUCGCAAACUCCGGCCUGCUUGCAACGUGGCAUGCAGCAAUGGGUUGGUGUUGUUACCAGUAACCAUGCAAGGUCUGUGCUGACAGGAAAAUGCUAACUGUACUCAAGUGCGAACGUUGAGCCUGCUGCAUGCACCGCACAUACUCUGGUGGCAGGACUCAUUCAACUAAUGGUGGCGGAAAGAAGCUUCUUGUUGCUGCCAAGAGGUCGCACUGAAUUAGCAAUAUCUCCUAUCAUCUACUUUUUUUUACUUCAGCUUGUGCCCCCUGUCGUACUGAAGUAGAUCACCAAGGCGGGCUGGGUGGUUGAUGUUCACCUUAAAUGCCUUUUAGCUGUGCUAACAAAUGCAGACAAAUAAGAGGGUAGAAGACUGGAUGUGCACAGACUCUCAAGCGAAUGUUUAAUGGGUAAAAGACGACAUAACAGGUAAAAGAACUGGAUGAAACAUGCUGGUUGGCCAUCUCAAACAAAGAUAUAGUGCCGUUGCCAAGUAGCGUCCAACAACCGCACCUCAUAAUCUGCAAGUAACACCAAAGGUUCUCUUAUGCACCCAUGUGUACUGUUUAUCUUGUAUGCCUCAAACAGCUCCCGAGUGCUACAGUCCCAAUGGCGGCACAGAAUCUUAGUUUUGUUCAGAAGCAGAGGGCACGUGUUCUUGUUUUCUUUUUUACCUUAAUUGCAAUGCUUCACUACAUAACAUUAACCAUCUGAUCAGCAAUUGUUCUUUUGCUGUUCUUCUGAUCAGCAAGAUGUUCUUUUAAACGAAUAUAUUGAUACAUGUUCCCAUCUGACCGACGUGCAUUCACCCAGAAAAAUAAAGGGAAAUUCAUAUACAUACCACUGUGCAGGUGCAGGGGACAAACCUUGAGCAUUGUUCAACAAGGGCAAACAAGAGUGCUACAAUAGAUGUGUCAACCACACCCAGCACAGAAAUUUGACAAUGUCUGAGGGUCUGAAAACACAGAGUUAGCCCCAUAAUGCUGUGCUACAUCCUUCAAAUUAUGUGAUGCCUUAUGCUCGUAGGGGAACGCCGGGUAUCUCUUUCAAAUGGCCAAUGAACAUGUUUCAUACAGUUCUGUGUACAUAUGUCACCUUUCACCCAAUAAAGAGCUGUAGGUCUGCCCACAUCCAGUCUUCUACCCUCUUCUUUGUCUGUGCUUGUUAGCACAGUUAAGACGCAUUUAAAAUGCACUCUGUCAUAGUCUAGCUGUGUCAUUUGCCACUACAUGUUUCUCUUAUGUUUUGUUGCCCCCUCCAGGAGCUUGUAUUGGUGAGCUUGUGGUAACAUGCCAUGUCUGUUUACUUGUUUGUCAAUUUCUUUUUUCACUGUUAUUUUUUUCCCUAACAUGUAUAGAAUGCUAUUUUAAAGUUUUCUUGACUUUGUGGAAAUUUUCUUUUUUGAAUGAGCGUAUGCGUAUGUAUUAUGUAUUGAGCUGUAUGCCCCCCCUCACCCUAUGCCUAUUCUGGGGCCUGUGCAACACCAUCUAGACUGGCUAAGGUCUGUUCAUAUUCUCCUCUCCUAGCGCCUACGUCACCACACUGCGACGGAGCUGCUUUGUCGGCGCUUCCGGGAAACGGGGGGAAAGCAUGAACGAAUGGAUUCGCAAUGCACGAACGAGCGCGCAACAAUGGGCAUUUCUGAAAACGCGUCCUCCCGUCCGUCGUAGUGUGCUGACGUCACCGAGGAGUCAAGAGGCCUUGGCUAGUCUAGGUGGUGUUGGCCUGUGAGGCAUUUGCUAAAUAAAUAAAUAAAUAUGUUUCGUGCGAGGCUCCCGCUUUCUUUUUUCCCACUGCUGUUAUAGAACAAAUGCCAGUUAGAGCAAAUUUUACUCUACAGAAACAUUGUUGCUACUGCUGUGUAACCAUUAUGCUUUGAUUCAGGCAUAGUUGAACGACGCAGAUUGUUCGGGGCUAUGUGCUGCGUUAAGUACCUGGACAGCAGUAAACAGGCCUGCUUCUGCUUCUGGUUUAAUAAGCCCUGUACUUAUGCUAUAAUUGUGGACGUAACACUUGGUUUAGUCAGACGUUCUUAUUAUGCUGUUUUAUUUUUUGGUAAGCUUUGCUGCACAGAGAAAUAUUGUCGAAUGGAGCAAUAAGUCUGCCUCGGUACUAGAACACUGGUGUAGCCGGGGGGCGAGGGAGGGGGGCAGGUUGAGGGGGUUUAACCCCUUCCCCCUCGAAAUUUUUCAAUUUUGUAUGCGUAUGCAUGCAUCCAGGCACACAUACAAAUGCACACGCAAACAUACAUAAAGUAUGGUUGAACCCCCCCCCCCCCCCCCCAAAUAUUUCUGGUUACGCUUCUGUACUAGAAUGUUAUGUUUUGUGUGCACAGACUGUGGACACUGCAGUAUUGAGAAAAUCGUAUGACUUGUGUUAAAACACAUCCAGUACUUUAGUUUUCCAAGAGGCAAAUUUUUCGGUUCAUGCAUGUAACAAGUCUCAUAUUCUUUUUCAUUUUUGUAAUGCCUUUUGCCUGUGCUAUGUCUGUGAAGUGAAACUUACUUACCUACGCGUUGUCACUAUUGCUUGAAAGAUUGCGAUAUUUGCAGAAAAGUGCUGUGCUUAGCUCCUUCUGUAGAUGACACAGGUGAAUGUUGGGGACAGGGUGACAAGUUCUGUGCAACUCAAAACGCGCUGAGUGGCCAUUGCUGUUUGUCUUACUCUUUCUCCCAACCUUGUCUUGCAUGUCUAUGCACGCUUCUUUUUGUUCAUUGAUACAGACAAACCAGGAAACUGAUCGUGCCGGACUUUCAUUAAAGCUUUAUUCUCAACCAUCGAAAA